rnacentral:rRNA from 1 species
AGCGAACGCUGGCGGCAGGCCUAACACAUGCAAGUCGAACGGACUCUUCGGACUUAGUGGUGGAUGGGUGAGUAACACGUGGGAACGUGCCUUUAGGUUCGGAAUAACUCAGGGAAACUUGACCUAAUACCGGAUGUGCUACUCCAGGGAAAGAUGUAUCGCCUUUAGAGGGGCCUGCGUCUGAUUGGCUAGUUGGUGAGGUAAAGGCGCAUCAAGGCGAGGUUGAGUAGCUGGUUUGAGAGGAAGAUCAGCCACAUUGGGGCUGAGACACGGCCGAAACUCCUACGCAAUGGAGGAGAGGGUGAUCCAGCGCAAUGGGGGAUGGGCUGAAGCAGCCAGGCCGGGUGAAUGAUGAAGGUCGUAGGAAAGGGAAAUUCUUUCACAGGGGGCGGUAAUGACGUUACCCGGAGAAGAAGCCCCGGCUAACUUCGUG